AUGUAUCACUCGUACGCUCCGGUUCCUCCGCGCCGUCCGCACCUACCUGAUGACCGCUCGCUACGUGUUGGUCGCU
rnacentral:sRNA from 1 species